AUAUAUAUAUAUUUAGAUAAUUUUAAAUUUUAGAAUGUUAUAUUUUUUUUUAUAAAUUAUAACAUGCAUUAAAUUCAGAAUUUUUAUGUAUAUCGUUCUACUAUAUGUUGAAUAGGUGAAAGGAACAAAAACAGAAAGAGAAAUUUGGCAGAGGUGUAUGAAAAUUCUGAAUUAAAAGCGUUGGAAAACGAAAGUAACAGUUUGGAAAAGGUAGAGAGCGAAAGCCAAAAUUUGGAAAUAGUGGUGAACGAAAGUAAAAAUUUAAAAAAGGAAGUUAGAA